rnacentral:lncRNA from 1 species
CGGUUUUCUCGAUCUCAAAAUCGUAGAGGAGAUUCGGCUUAGAAGAUCUGCUCAUAAACAAAGAAAAUAAAAAAAAGAAAAAAUAGACAAAGGGAAAAGAAUUAAUUAACACCGCUCCCCGGCAACGGCGCCAAUUUGGUGGACGUCGUAUACCACCAAAUAAUUCCUGCAGAAUUAUCAAAAUAAAUUAGUAUCGUGAUAAGCAGGGUCGAUCCCACAGAGAGCAGGUAAAAUCA